rnacentral:misc_RNA from 1 species
UCCCUUGGUGAAGAUGGGGCAAUUGAACCCCUAGUCAAACUGUUUAAAGCUGGAAAGCUUGAAGCCAAGUUAUCUGCGUUAAAUGCAUUGCAAAAUUUAUCAAUGUUGACGGAAAACAUACAGCGUCUAAUCAGUUCAGGCAUUGUAGUACCCCUGCUUCAACUAUUCUCUGUUACAUCUGUGCUCAUGACUCUUCGGGAGCCAGCAUCAGCC